rnacentral:rRNA from 1 species
UAGGGAAUCUUCGGCAAUGGGGGCAACCCUGACCGAGCAACGCCGCGUGAGUGAAGAAGGUUUUCGGAUCGUAAAGCUCUGUUGUAAGAGAAGAACGUGUGUGAGAGUGGAAAGUUCACACAGUGACGGUAACUUACCAGAAAGGGACGGCUAACUACGUGCCAGCAGCCGCGGUAAUACGUAGGUCCCGAGCGUUGUCCGGAUUUAUUGGGCGUAAAGCGAGCGCAGGCGGUUUAAUAAGUCUGAAGUUAAAGGCAGUGGCUUAACCAUUGUUCGCUUUGGAAACUGUUAAACUUGAGUGCAGAAGGGGAGAGUGGAAUUCCAUGUGUAGCGGUGAAAUGCGAAGAUAUAUGGAGGAACACCGGUGGCGAAAGCGGCUCUCUGGUCUGUAACUGACGCUGAGGCUCGAAAGCGUGGGGAGCAAACAGG